GUGCUCCAUUCUCAGCACACAAAGUAAAAUUGGAAUGAUACAGAGAAGAUUAGUAUGGCCCUUGUGUAAGGAUGAGGUGCAAAAAAAUGUAGCAGUUGAGAAAACC
ensembl:snRNA U6 U6 spliceosomal RNA